UUUGAUCCUGGCUCAGAACGAACGCUGGCGGCAGGCCUAACACAUGCAAGUCGAGCGAGGACUUCGGUCCUAGCGGCGGACGGGUGAGUAACGCGUGGGAACGUGCCCUUUGGUACGGAAUAGCCCCGGGAAACUGGGAGUAAUACCGUAUGGUGUCUUCGGACUAAAGAUUUAUCGCCAAAGGAUCGGCCCGCGUUGGAUUAGGUAGUUGGUGGGGUAAUGGCCUACCAAGCCGACGAUCCAUAGCUGGUUUGAGAGGAUGAUCAGCAACACUGGGACUGAGACACGGCCCAGACUCCUACGGGAGGCAGCAGUGGGGAAUCUUAGACAAUGGGCGCAAGCCUGAUCUAGCCAUGCCGCGUGGACGAUGAAGGCCUUAGGGUUGUAAAGUCCUUUCAGAUGGGAAGAUAAUGACGGUACCAUCAGAAGAAGCCCCGGCUAACUCCGUG
rnacentral:rRNA from 1 species